UUCAACGGAGAGUUUGAUCCUGGCUCAGGACGAACGCUGGCGGCGUGCUUAACACAUGCAAGUCGAGCGGUAAGGCUCCUUCGGGAGUACACGAGCGGCGAACGGGUGAGUAACACGUGAGCAAUCUGCCCUUCACAUCGGAAUAACCAUUGGAAACGAUGGCUAAUACCGAAUAUGACUUCGGAAUGCAUGUUCUGAAGUGGAAAGCUCCGGCGGUGAAGGAUGAGCUCGCGGCCUAUCAGCUUGUUGGUGAGGUAAUAGCUCACCAAGGCGAUGACGGGUAGCCGGCCUGAGAGGGUGACCGGCCACACUGGGACUGAGACACGGCCCAGACUCCUACGGGAGGCAGCAGUGGGGAAUAUUGGACAAUGGGCGAAAGCCUGAUCCAGCAACGCCGCGUGAGGGAUGACGGCCU
rnacentral:rRNA from 1 species